CAUUUUUGAUAAACUAUAUGUAAAUACUAUACGUAUUUUAAGGUUUAAUAGACCCUCAAAAACCA
rnacentral:tRNA from 1 species